AUUGAACGCUGGCGGCAGGCUUAACACAUGCAAGUCGAGCGAGUGGCGGACGGGUGAGUAAUGUCUGGGAAACUGCCUGAUGGAGGGGGAUAACUACUGGAAACGGUAGCUAAUACCGCAUACCAUCAGAUGUGCCCAGAUGGGAUUAGCUAGUUGGUGGGGUAACGGCUCACCACGGCGACGAUCCCUAGCUGGUCUGAGAGGAUGACCAGACACACGGGAACGGAGACACGGUCCAGACUCCGACGGGAGGCAGCAGUGGGGAAUAUUGCACAAUGGGCGCAAGCCUGAUGCAGCCAUGCCGCGUGUGUGAAGAAGGCCUUCGGGGUGUAAAGGACUUUCAGCGGGGAGGCGUUACCCGCAGAAGAAGCACCGGCUAACUCCGUGCCAGCAGCCGCGGUAAUUC
rnacentral:rRNA from 1 species